rnacentral:rRNA from 1 species
UAGGGAGUAUUUGGCAAUGGGGGAAACCCUGACCGAGCAACGCCGCGUGGACGAUGAAGGCCCCAGGGUCGCAGAGUCCUGUGGGGGGUCGCCAAAACCGGGGGGAGGAAAUGCCCCGCGGCUGAGGAGCCCCCUAGAAAGCAACUGCUAACUACGUGCCAGCAGCAGCGGUAAUACGUAGGUUGCAAGCGUUAUCCGGAAUCACUGGGCGUAAAGAGUGAGCAGGCGGCCGGGUAAGCCCGGGGUGAAAUGCGGGGGCUCAACCCCCGCAGGUCCCGGGAACUGCCCGGCUAGGGUGCGGGAGAGGCGAGUGGAACUCCGCGUGUAGCGGCAAAAUGCACAGAUACGCGGAAGAACACCGGUGGCGAAGGCGGCUCGCUAGACCGAUACCGACGCUCAGUCACGAAAGCGUGGGGAGCAAAUAGG